rnacentral:rRNA from 1 species
GACGAACGCUGGCGGCGUGCCUAAUACAUGCAAGUAGGACGCUGAAGAGAGGAGCUUGCUCUUCUUGGAUGAGUUGCGAACGGGUGAGUAACGCGUAGGUAACCUGCCUUGUAGCGGGGGAUAACUAUUGGAAACGAUAGCUAAUACCGCAUAACAAUGGAUGACACAUGUCAUUUAUUUGAAAGGGGCAAUUGCUCCACUACAAGAUGGACCUGCGUUGUAUUAGCUAGUAGGUGAGGUAACGGCUCACCUAGGCGACGAUACAUAGCCGACCUGAGAGGGUGAUCGGCCACACUGGGACUGAGACACGGCCCAGACUCCUACGGGAGGCAGCAGUAGGGAAUCUUCGGCAAUGGAGGCAACCCUGACCGAGCAACGCCGCGUGAGUGAAGAAGGUUUUCGGAUCGUAAAGCUCUGUUGUAAGUCAAGAACGAGUGUGAGAGUGGAAAGUUCACACUGUGACGGUAGCUUACCAGAAAGGGACGGCUAACUACGUG